rnacentral:tRNA from 1 species
GAGUAGAUGGCGAAAUUGGUAUACGCACCACAUUCAAAAUGUGGCGAUUAAUUCUUGAGGGUUCAAGUCCCUCUCUACUCA